AUUAAAAACCCGCGCUACAGACGCAAGAACAACGAUUGGUUGAAUAGGCCCAAUGUGUCUUUUCACCAAUGGUAAGGAAGAUAGCAGGCGUGACUAUGAACACUGGCCAAUGAGUUGAUUUCGCAAUGUUUUCAAUUGACGUUUAUCUUUAUAAACCAGGAAGAAGUAGCCUACUCGGAUAUUGACGCUACACGGAAGUAGAAAUUGUGGGAUUCUAUCUCCAGGACCAGUAAAAGGAAAUCAUUGAAAACUAGCCUAUCACAUAUGUAAAGGUUUUUAGAAUGGACGCAAUGACUGUGCAGAACAACAAGCAAAGAGACCACGCCUCAGGGUGUGUUCAGGAGUGCGAAACGUUAGAAAUGAGUCAUGUUGAGGAGACCGGGGGCAAUUGUGAUUUUGUGUGUGUUUUUUAUUUAUUUAUUCUAAUCCGCAGAGACCACUUGAACUAGUCCUGUCAUUUUUUUUGAUAUAAGACACUGGGGGUACUUGGCUUAUCCGCAGAGGGUACUUGAGAAGACUCAUGAGACCAUAUGCUAACUGGUAAAAUGCACUUCUGGGGGUGCUUCAGUGGUACUCUGGACAGAACAAAAUGUUCUUGUUGGUACAUUAACCGAAAAAGGUUGGGAAACAACUGCUCUACAGGACAGCAAGGCUAUUUACAUGUAUUAUUUGUAUAAUUCAUACCAUCUUAAAGUUAAAAUCACUUGUACUCAUAAUUUGGCUGCUUGGCUCAGGAUCAUUGUAUUACUGUGCUACAAUUGCCCCUAACCCUAACAGUCAUGAUGGAACCUGAUGUGCCUAGCAAGAGACAGCAAUAGUCACGUGUCAUUCAUGUCAAUGAUUAUCCAACAUAUAGUUUGAAUUGUUGGACGUUAAUGCUCAGGGCCGUACAAUAACAAUACAAAUGAAAUACCUGACCUCCAAGUGGCAGGUAGGUCUACCUCCUGACAAUAUUGACUAUUGCAUUCCAUCCUAUUUCACCAGUUCAACCAGAGAUUACACUGGAUGGACAGAUAUUGACGUUAUUGCAUCAGGCUGCUGUGAUUUAAUUAUUUGUUGUUCACAAUAACUUCAGGCUUGGAAAUGUCCAUUUUUACACAAAGCAUCUGUUGUAUGAGGAAUUACAGUCUGUUCUGGAAAGACCAGUAUUGUAUUACUGUACAAAGCAAUGUUCUUUGUCAGCAAGCAGCAGUUAUGGCGCAUGAUCAACCAGGGCUCGAUACUGCGACCAGAACAGUUGUAUUUGUGACCAUUUGACUUGGCAGUGCGACACACAUUUUUAAUUGGUCACAAUGGUGCUACUGAGAAAUGUACCUGGUCACGGUAGUUUUUAGUUCACAAUUAGCUUUUGAAAUUUUUAUUAAAAUGAAAUGAUUUAUUCAAACAGCAAUGUGCAAUUGACCAAAAUGAAACCAACUUUCUGAAGAAGCAAAAACAGCACGGGAAUACCCCUGUCCGUGUGCAUCAGGGCUCCACAUAGAGGCCUGCACAGUUAGGCUAAACACUCCAGUGCAACAUUGACUGUCAGUGCCAGUAAAGAAAAAAUGUUCUUGUGAUAAUGCUAUUUUUAAUCUAGGCUAUAUAAUUGAUUAAAAUACAUGGAUUCCCGAUUAUUAAUCACAAGUGCGCUGCACACAUAUAAAUCAGAGAUCAUCAACUACAUUCAGCCACGGCUGAUAUUUUUCUUGAGCAGAUGGUCGUGGACCGUAACAUAAUUACAAAUCAUUUGAAGAUUGCAUAUUGACUGCACCAAUCCCAAACAGAUAUAUUUCACUAAAACAAUCAUUUGAAACCUUGCAUACAUUUGAGUACAAUCACUUGGGUUUCUCUAUUAUGCGUGAGAAUACUUGGGAUGUCCAAAAUUAAAAUCACUUGGAGCUCAUUUCCUGCUGUUUUCAGUUUUAUUUCCAACAAUUAAAAAUAUAUAAAAAAAUGAAAAUUGAAGUUAGGGAACCCUGCAAUAGUCUCUCUUGAAUAGAGAAUGCACAGCUUUCAAACGUUUGGUUGUUGAGUGGCGUUGAAAGUGUUAUAAAGUGUUGGUUGAAUAUUUGCAAUGCCAAAUUCAGUCAACGGAAUAAGCCUACCUUAAAUGAUAUUUUGGCCUUGAAAAGUAAUUGAAGUUAUGGUAGCAGAUUUAGAAGUUCUACUGCUCCAAUAUAAUUAUUCUGUGAUUUCAUUUCAGAUCAGUUUAUAUGAUAGAUGUUGCCGCUUUCAUUUUGUUUCCCACUGUUUCAAUUGAAGGGUGUUGCGCUAGUCUGUUGUACUUGUUGAGGUAAAACCGUGUGCGGUUAUUAUGAGCAAGACAUCAAAUGUUUGGUUCAACUUGGUUUUCCAUACAAGCGCCUCGCGGUCAACUUGGUUUUCCAUACAAGCGCCUCGCCGGUCUCCAUGUCACCCCUGUUGAUGAGGA
rnacentral:lncRNA from 1 species